ensembl:lncRNA
UGUCUGUCUGCUUACCCCUGGUCCAGCCUGUCUGUCUGCUUACCCCUGGUCCAGCCUGUCUGUCUGCUUACCCCUGGUCCAGCCUGUCUGUCUGUCUGUCUGUCUGUCUGUCUGUCUGUCUGUCUGUCUGUCUGUCUGUCUGUGUGUGUGUGUGAGAUUGCCCAGAUCAAGCAUUUUGUAACCCACCAAAGAGCACUACUGGGGCUCCUCCAACCCCAGUCCAACCCAAGAGGAGCCAAGUCUCAUCACCCAGUGCUACAGGCGUCAUCAUAGUUCCCCCAGGGAGCCUGCACCGGGAAGAUCCCAGUGAUACGGUGCGUGGGGGGUAGUGUUUCAGGAGUAGUGAUACGGUGCUGAGGGGGUAGUGUUUCAGGAGUAGUGAUACGGUGCCUAGGGUGUAGUGUUUCAGGAGCAGUGUUAUGGGUCAGAGUGGAGAGAGGAGGGGACAGGAGAGGCAGGGAGAGGAGAACAGGACAUUAAUAGUAUUUGGCAGUAAGAAUUCAUCUAGUCUUUAGGUGUCUGCUGUGUUAAAGGUUUUAAUGUGUGACAUGUGUGACCUGGCAUUCUGUAGAUGUGUCUACAGACGUCUGUGAAUGUGUCUGGGUCCAACAGAAGUGUGUAAAUGACAGAAACAGGUCGCCUCUUUCAUGAUGGUUUAAUUGUUUUUGGGGAGUGGGGGUGUCCAUGUGUAUGCCUGUCUGAGGUAGUUGCCUUGCUACGCUGUGUGUGUGUGUGUGUGUGUGUGUGUGUGUGUGUGUGUGUGUGUGUGUGUGUGUGUGUGUGUGUGUGUGUGUGUGUGUGUGUGUGUGUGUGUGUUGUCUUGAGAUAGCUGACUGGCUGCUGUAGGGUAUAGUUACUGUUGUUUGUUGUUGUUGGUGAGUGUUUUCUCAGGGCUCUGACUGUUUAUUUACCCAGCGGUCAGGAGCUAUAUGGCCCCGCCGGUGGUGGGGGAAACCCAGCAAGAGACUAGGGGCAGCUCGUGAACACACACACACACACCCUUGUCAUCACUACGGGUGUGUGUGUUCACACGCUGCUUCCAGUCACCAUGUGUCACUUUGUCCCCAGACAUCUCACCUGUCGCACACAGGGGG